GGGAGGUUGCCGCUUGGUGACAACACACAGUUCAUCGCACUUUCACUGCACAGCCGCAGACCAAUCAGAAUGCCGAUGAUCGAAAGCGCCUACAGUGGGCAUGAGAGUGUCAGAACUGGAGCAGAGGACGAAGGCCAUCUAGUCUGAUGAGUCCCUUUUUCUUUUACAUUAUGUGAUCAAACUUGAUGGAAAUAUGAAAAUAAUCAAAUAUACAGUCUCUCACACCUCUGGCAGGAGUAAACAUCUCUUUAACACAGAGAUUGGUUUGAAAGAGACAGGUCACUAAGAGAAACUUGAAGAACAAGAUGCUCCCAAAAUAGAAUCUUCAAAAUGGAAUUCCUGUGAUGCUUUGUAUACUGUGGUAUUUCACCUGAGGAAAAGGACUACAAUGUAAAUGGUUACAAAUUAAACCUAAACUUACCAUAAAACAAACAAUAUUUCCUCUUCAAAAUCAACUGAAGAAUCAAGAAGGAUGUAUUCCAGCUUUAUCAGUCGAGUACAGUUCUUCAUCAAAGGUGUGUAAAACAUUCAAACUCCUAGUUGUAUUCCAUUUGUUCAGUAAUAUAGUGCAUAAAACAUAAAAACUAACCGGGAAGACUGGUGGG